rnacentral:misc_RNA from 1 species
GCUUGUUCCUCUUUACAAGGUUGGCGAUGCCCUAGAGUGGGUCCAUCGUCAGAUGGAGGUAAUCUUGCUAUAUUGCACCGUCCACUAUUUUCUUGUUGAUAUUUUAUUCAGAUUAAACAAUUAAUAAUAUUUAUCUCAUGUAACAUUUAAAUGUCUACCCACAUACAAUUGGUUUAAAUGUAAAUUGAAAGUUAACCGCCUAACAUCCUGGCAUAGUUGAGCGUGGAAAGAAAUAAGAUGAUAUGACUAUUAAUAGCUGUUAACAAUUAUGCUUAUUUAGUGGCAGGUCUUAACCUGCAGGCUUAUGUUCAGGGAAUAUUGAUCAUAUUUAUUGUCCCUUGGAUGCGUUUGGAAGCUAUUUCGCAUUUGAACACCAUGAUGAUGUAAUGUCAAAAUAUUAAUAUGCUCAUUGUUAUUUCUAGAUAUACCCUAUUUGGCUCUGCCCACACAGAUUGUUCAAGUUGCCUGUAAAAACUAUGGUGUACCCUGAGCCAGGAUUUGAGCAUCAG